UACGAAGGGGGCUAGCGUUGCUCGGAUUGACUGGGCGUAAAGGGCGCGUAGGCGGAUAGUACAGUCAGGCGUGAAAUUCCUGGGCUCAACCUGGGGGCUGCGUUUGAUACGUGUUGUCUGGAGUUCGGAAGAGGGUCGUGGAAUUCCCAGUGUAGAGGUGAAAUUCGUAGAUAUUGGGAAGAACACCCGUGGCGAAGGCGGCUCUCUGGGACGGUACUGACGCUGAGACGCGAAAGCGUGGGGAGCGAACAGG
rnacentral:rRNA from 1 species